rnacentral:rRNA from 1 species
AUGGAAGGCCUUCUACAUUGGGACUUCUUGCCCGGCCUCGCGGUCGCGGCUCAGGUGCGUCGCCGUUUUGGAUCUUCUGUUCAUUUCUGCCCCGAUGGACCGACUAAGGAAUUUUUCUUGGUUGUGUACUUUUCGUCGGCCUCCUUCUCCUUGUCUGAAGAAUCAGUGGUCAUUGCUCUACAAUGCUGCAUCGGAGGUCUACCUUCUGGUCUAAAUGUGCAACAUCUUGAGGGUCGGUCCUUUCGUUUUUCUGUGGCGUCCAAUCGUGUUGGACAUUAUAUCUAUGGUCUCAAAGAUCAAGUUUGGUCGGACUUUGUUUUCCGUUUUCAACUUUAA